CAAAGGGCUGGGCUGUGUUCUCUGGCCUCUCCCGCGGCCCCUCAGCUCUGACUGCGCUCGCUCUUUGCCAGAUCCAGGCUGGGACCGCCCAGAAGAGCAGGACCACGCCCGUGGCCACUUGCGCAGGGCGGUUCAGAGGUUGCUGAAAUUCAUGGGUGUUCGGCGCAGAACAGCCACGACCGCACCGCCCGAGCUCAUGGCACAGCCUGACACCAGCGCAGCUGAGCUCGAGGCGGAGCCCCAUGUCAGCACUGCACCGAGUCACUGUGCAGCCAGUGGUGACAUGGCACCCAUGGAUUGUGCUGCCAGCGGUGACAUGGCACCAACUCAUGUCACAGCAACCUUGGACAUGGCAGCAAUUGAUGGCACAGAAACCGCUGACAUGGCACAGCUUGAUGGCAGAGCAACCACUGACAUGGCAGAGGUUAAUGGCACAGCCACCUCUGACACGGCACCGAUGGAUGGCACAGCCACCUGUGACACCACGCUGGCAGACACCGAGACAAGCUCUGACACGGCACCAACGGUUGUCGGGGCCAAAGCUGAUGACACGACUGAGGGCAUCGCAGACACUGACCGCACGCCCA